AUUAAAGGCAGCUAUAUAGAACUGUUCACAAAAAUUGUGAGUACCCCAAGAAAACCGGGACACUUGGGAGACAUCCCUUUCUAUCUCCUGCGAGGUUAAACUCGAGCCACAUGAAAGCCAAGCUUUCGACUUUCCCCGUCAAACAGUUCCCAGAGCGAAAUGGCUCGGAGCGAGCGCAAAACAAUCGACAGGAACUGGGGAUCUGAAAAGGAUCCGUCCGCGGUGUCAAAGCACAGGUUUUCAUGCCAUCCCGGCUCGCUAGAGAAUUACCAGAAGAUGAUAAAGAAACCCGAUACCCGCAGACAUCGGGUUUCACAAUAAUUAAGACUAUUUCCUGACGGACGUCACCUGCCUGGCGGUUACA